UAGGGGAAAAACAGGGUUUUCUGUGAAAAUAAGCGAUAUUUUAGGGGAAAAACAGGGAUUUCUAUGAAAAUAAGCGAUAUUUUUGGGGAAAAACAGGGAUUUCUAUGAAAAUAAGCGAUAUUUUUGGGGAAAAACAGGGAUUUCUAUGAAAAUAAGCGAUAUUUUUGGGGAAAAACAGGGAUUUCUAUGAAAAUAAGCGAUAUUUUUGGUUAAAAACAGGGAUUACUGUGAAAAUAAGCGAUAUUUUAGGUUAAAAACAGGGAUUUCUAUGAAAAUAAGCGAUAUUUUAGGGGAAAAACAGGGAUUUCUAUGAAAAUAAGCGAUAUUUUAGGGGAAAAACAGGGAUUUCUUUGAAAAUAAGUGAUACUUUAGGGGAAA